rnacentral:rRNA from 1 species
UACGGAGGGUGCAAGCGUUAAUCGGAAUUACUGGGCGUAAAGGGCGCGUAGGCGGCCAACUAAGUCAGACGUGAAAUCCCUCGGCUCAACCGGGGAACUGCGUCUGAUACUGGAUGGCUUGAAUUCGGGAGAGGGAUGCGGAAUUCCAGGUGUAGCGGUGAGAUGCGUAGAGAUCGGGAGGAACAUCAGUGGCGAAGGCGGCCAUCUGGGACAACACUGACGCUGAAGCACGAAAGCGUGGGGAGCAAACAGG